GGCGAUGUGAGAUUACACAGGAAGCUGACAAAAAAAAAAACCUAGGGAAAUGGUUGGGGUCGGCGGAGUGGAGAGGAGACGGUGCUGGAAGUGGCAGUAGAGGAGGUCCACUUCAGUGAAAAUGUAAAUUGUCAUGAUCUACUUUUAUGUAGUGUUAUGAAGGAGUGAAGAAGGCAGAAAGCAGAAAUCCCCCCAUGUGCCAUUCCCACCUCACUCCCUGAUACCUGAGAGGAACACCAACAAGAACCUUCCCAAGGUCACCAACAAGAUCGCUGAGCUGCUAACAGGAGAGGUUCCUAUAAGGUGUCAGGAUGUCACUGUCUAUUUCUCC